AAGAAUUAAAUGGAUGAAAUAUGAAGUUUUAUUAAAAGAAAAAGGGGUGAAAAGAACAAAGUUUUGUCCAUCUUUGUUCAUCAUAGCUGAAAGUUAGAGAAGAGAAAGAAGAGGAGAAAGCUCUUGAGUGUUCGGUCACUUGGGGAAGAAAAUUGAAGGCAGUUCGUGUGUGGAUCUCGUCAGCAUAUCGUCGCAAACAGGUAAUCCCCAACCAUAGUGGGCUUGGAGCUGUGAGGGAAUUCAGAGUGACCACCCGUUCUAAAAGUUUGAUUUUCUUCUGAUCCGGCCAUAACUUCUGGGCCGGGUUCGGGGUGCUACAUCUUAGGCAUUCCAAAGCCUAUAAAUACACCCUAGAGGAGGAAGAAAGAAACACACGGAGAGAAGGAGGCAGGGAACUGCUCAAGGGAAGCCGAUUGAUCCAUCUCAGAAGCCGGAUUCACCAUCAAGACUGAAGAUCUCCCCUCAAUUUCCCUCCAGGAGUUUUAGGUUUUCUUUAUGUUUUGUAUUCAUUAUUCUUCUGAGAUGUUUUCCUUUUUAGUUAUGAACUAAAUCCCCUAAAUACCUAAGGGGAAUGAAACCUAAGACGAAUCUU